rnacentral:rRNA from 1 species
UACGGAGGGGGCUAGCGUUGUUCGGAAUUACUGGGCGUAAAGCGCGCGUAGGCGGCUUUGUAAGUUAGAGGUGAAAUCCUGGAGCUCAACUCCAGAACUGCCUUUGAUACUGAGGGUCUUGAGUUCGGGGAGAGGUGAGUGGAACUGCGAGUGUAGAGGUGAAAUUCGUAGAUAUUCGCAAGAACACCAGUGGCGAAGGCGGCUCACUGGCCCGGUUCUGACGCUGAGGCGCGAAAGCGUGGGGAGCAAACAGG